CAUCCUGGAAACCAUUUUUAUCUGGAUGCUGACAAUCCAAGAAAGGUCUGUGAGAGGUUUCCUGCUGGAAGGCAUCUCCGUUCUUGCUGGGUUUCAUCUAGAGGCAGUGAUCAGCAGCCUCCUUAGAAAGCCUCUGCCAAUGGACAGUGACACCUCUGAGCUCUGGAGGGCCUUGAGCGGGGAAAGAUUUCUUCACCCUCUACAUACUACAGUUGCUCAUGAGCAAGAUUCACCAUCUGGCUGGCACAGACAAGAGCUCAGCUGAGGACAUCAUGGCCCUUGGGCCUCUAGAAGCAAGUGACAAUCCAGGUCCAGCUCUGUCGGUUCCCCCUUGAGGGCUAGAAUCCUGGUUCUCAAGAGCUUGAGGCAACAUGUGCAUCUUUAGAGAUGCUCACCACCAUUCACUCCAGCCCAGUGCUAAGGAAGCUGCUCCCAGAGAUUCUCUGUGCUCUUCUGGAGCAAGUUCGCCGCACUGUAGGGCAGUACAUGCCAAUGCCCACAGGGAGCAUCCGGAGGAGACAACUGCAGAAGGGGCAGUUGCGAGCAGUGGGAAACCCUUGCAGGUAAGGAGUAGACUGUGACUGCUUUCACAGGUUUAGCC